rnacentral:rRNA from 1 species
CCUACGAGUAGCUGCAGUGGGGAAUAUUGCACAAUGGGGGAAACCCUGAUGCAGCGACGCCGCGUGAGCGAUGUAGUAUUUCGGUAUGUAAAGCUCUAUCAGCCGGGAAGAAAAUGCCGGUACCUUACUCAGACGCCCCGGCUAACUACGUGCCAGCAGCCGCGGUAAUACGUAGGGGGCAAGCGUUAUCCGGAUUUACUGGGUGUAAAGGGAGCGGAGACGGCUUGGCAAGCCAGAUGUGAAAGGCUGGGGCUCAACCCCAGGACUGCCUUUGGAACUGUCAUGCUAGAGUGUCGGUGAGGCAGGCGGAAUUCCUAGUGUAGCGGUGAAAUGCGUAGAUAUUAGGAGGAACACCAGUGGCGAAGGCGGCCUGCUGGACGAUGACUGACGUUGAGGCUCGAAAGCGUGGGGAGCAAACAGGAUUAGAUACCCUAGUAGUC